ensembl:misc_RNA Y_RNA Y RNA
GGCUGAUCUGAGUGCGGUGGUGUUUACAACUAAUUGAUCACAACCGAUUACAGAUUUCUUUGUUUCAUCUCCUCUCCCACUGCUUCACUUGACCAGCCUUUU